GGCAAGGAGACCUGGUCAUUAGUCAGAAGAACUCUUUACAUGUAGGCUUACAGUCAACAAAUCAGAACUUUUUGCAGAUACGUUAUCUUUUAAGUUAUUAUUAAAACCAGUGUUCCGGAGAGGUUUUUCCACACUGGCCUGACGAAGUCCUCCACAGUGACAGCCACCAGCGCAUUGAUGCUGGAGGACACAGUACUGAAACAGACACAAUGGCAAUAGAUGAGGGGAAGAGAAAGAAUGUCCUUUGUCUGCAGGGAAUUCAUAGUUAAACACAUUCAUUGAUAGGUUAGUAGUGGAAUACCGCUUGUGUUUGGACCCAGGACGGGGUAGGGGGUCGUGAGUAUUCUCACCUUAGGGUGCCACUGUAUGCUGCAGACACAAACAAUCCAGGGACUCCAGGAUAGGCUGCCAGAAUGUCCAUCACCAGACCUCCCUGAGAACCACAAUUCAACAUGGAGUCAGGGGAAGGAAUGUACCGUGUGCCGUAACCUCAUGUACACAAAAGAGCAGGAAGGUGUUGAUUGCUGAUUGGGAGUGUGUGAGAUGAGCCACUGACCAGGGUACAGUAGAGGAUGCACACCACCCCAGUGGCCACCAGCACUCCCCAGAGGUUCAUCCCUGUGACUGAAACACACAGAAGUUCAGCCCUGUGACUGAAAUGCCCAGAGGUGCUGGUGAUGCCCAGGCGGUAGAAGAGAGGGACAAAUAUCUCGGCGGUGAUGAUGGACAUGAUGGCAUAGGAGAUGGCAAAGAUCCAGUAGUCCGCCCCAAACCGAUAGGCUUCGGCUGGUGUGCCG